UACGUAGGCAGCAAGCGUUGUUCGGAAUUACUGGGCGUAAAGAGUGUGUAGGCGGUGCUCCAAGUCUGGUGUGAAAUCUCCCGGCUUAACUGGGAGGGUGCAUUAGAAACUGGAAUGCUAGAGGAUGGGAGAGGUAAGCGGAAUUCCUGGUGUAGCGGUGAAAUGCGUAGAUAUCAGGAGGAACACCGGUGGCGAAGGCGGGUCUCUGGGCCGAAACUGACGCUGAGGAGCGAAAGCGUGGGGAGCGAACAGG
rnacentral:rRNA from 1 species